ACCUGGCUGGCUCAGUUGGCAAAGCAUGAGACUCUUGAUCUCGGGAUUGUGAGUUAGAGCCCCACAUCGGGUA
rnacentral:tRNA from 1 species